AGUCGUAACAAGGUCUCCGUUGGUGAACCAGCGGAGGGAUCAUUACCGAGUUUACAACUCCCAAACCCAAUGUGAACCAUACCAAACUGUUGCCUCGGCGGGGUCACGCCCCGGGUGCGUCGCAGCCCCGGAACCAGGCGCCCGCCGGAGGGACCAACCAAACUCUUUUCUGUAGUCCCCUCGCGGACGUUAUUUCUUACAGCUCUGAGCAAAAAUUCAAAAUGAAUCAAAACUUUCAACAACGGAUCUCUUGGUUCUGGCAUCGAUGAAGAACGCAGCGAAAUGCGAUAAGUAAUGUGAAUUGCAGAAUUCAGUGAAUCAUCGAAUCUUUGAACGCACAUUGCGCCCGCCAGUAUUCUGGCGGGCAUGCCUGUCCGAGCGUCAUUUCAACCCUCGAACCCCUCCGGGGGGUCGGCGUUGGGGACCUCGGGAGCCCCUAAGACGGGAUCCCGGCCCCGAAAUACAGUGGCGGUCUCGCCGCAGCCUCUCCUGCGCAGUAGUUUGCACAACUCGCACCGGGAGCGCGGCGCGUCCACGUCCGUAAAACACCCAACUUCUGAAAUGUUGACCUCGGAUCAGGUAGGAAUACCCGCUGAACUUAAGCAUAUCAAUAAGCGGAGGAA
rnacentral:misc_RNA from 1 species